AACGAACGCUGGCGGCAUGCCUAACACAUGCAAGUCGAACGAGACCUUCGGGUCUAGUGGCGCACGGGUGCGUAACGCGUGGGAAUCUGCCCUUGGGUACGGAAUAACUCAGAGAAAUUUGUGCUAAUACCGUAUAAUGUCUUCGGACCAAAGAUUUAUCGCCCAAGGAUGAGCCCGCGUAAGAUUAGCUUGUUGGUGAGGUAAAAGCUCACCAAGGCGACGAUCUUUAGCUGGUCUGAGAGGAUGAUCAGCCACACUGGGACUGAGACACGGCCCAGACUCCUACGGGAGGCAGCAGUGGGGAAUAUUGGACAAUGGGCGAAAGCCUGAUCCAGCAAUGCCGCGUGAGUGAUGAGGGCCUUAGGGUUGUAAAGCUCUUUUACCAGGGGUGAUAAUGACAGUACCUGGAGAAUAAGCUCCGGCUAACUCCGUGCCAGCCGCCGCCGUAA
rnacentral:rRNA from 1 species